rnacentral:rRNA from 1 species
UACAGAGGUCCCGAGCGUUGUUCGGAUUUAUUGGGCGUAAAGGGUGCGUAGGCGGCGGAGUAAGUCGGGUGUGAAAUCCCGGGGCUCAACCUCGGAAUUGCAUUCAAUACUGCUUCGCUCGAGUACUGGAGAGGAGGCUGGAAUUUACGGUGUAGCAGUGAAAUGCGUAGAUAUCGUAAGGAAGACCAGUGGCGAAAGCGAGCCUCUGGACAGUUACUGACGCUGAUGCACGAAAGCCAGGGGAGCAAACGGG